GGCAAUUCUGUGACACUUUCCAAUCUAAGGCCGACAGAGCAAGGCAACCAGAUUUUUUUCUACAGCACCCUCCCAGGUGAGCAGUGGGCCUGGAGCCCUUCUGUAACCUGGCAUCUGUAGGUCUUCUCAUUAAGAACGAGAGUCAGAAGAGGAAAGGACUUAACACUCAUUACAACUCAGUCAUGGGGCUCUGAAGCGUCCCGAGGUCCCCUCUUUCCCACCCUACCUGUCGGCUGCGCGGCUCCACCACUUGCCAAACUAGGAGGAUUAAGUCGGUCUCGUCCGAGCCUAGGUCCGGCCCCAGCGCACCGGCAGUGGCCCCGAACAAAACCACCAGCGACUGAGGCACUCUGAGUCCUCCGCAAAAGAAUGUGCAGGAUCAGAGGCCUCUUUCCAUUCUGCAAGGGUCACGCAAGACCCAUGGAAUUCAACAGGAGGCAAUCUAGGGACUAUAAAAGGUCGCGACGUCUGGCUUGAGGUUAAUGGAAGUUACAAAGGGUCAAAAGCCGACAGUGAGCGCUACCAGGCCGCCCUGUGGGCUCAGGAUAGUUUCCCACCUACUCGACUGUAAUUAGUACUCUGGCGAGAGUAAAAAGGUACUGGCGUGGGACUUAGAAUACAGGAUGCCACCGGCUGAAGAAGAACCUUGUGUGUUUGGAAAAGCGGGCUGCUUCCUAUCGGUCUUGGAUAAAAGGCAACCCAGAGCCCGGGUGCAUCCCUAACUCAUGCCCAAGGAAGGUCGUGCGGAGCCAGAGGACCUAGAAUGUAUAGUGCGCCUUCUGGGUUUGUCCACACAAUAGCGCAGGAACACAGCGACCCAAUAUAGUGAGAAGUGGCCGCAGCGCACACCCUGAGACCCUUCACCAGGCGGCCCACCCGGAGCCUGCCUACUCAGCCCCGCUACCACGAUAAGCCUGGAAUGUCAAAUAUUUGUUCUAGGAACCCAGUGAAACCUUGAGGUAAAGCCCCUCCCCUCCUCCCUCCCAUUCCGGAGCGCGCCUGCGUCAGUCCAGGCUUUCCGGUAAGGACACUCCCUUCCAACUAGUUCCUUCUCGACACCCCUGCAACCCAUCGUCCUGACUAUUUAAACUUCACAAGGUCUUCGCUACAGGCUCAGGUUCAGUGAGGCAGAGUCUUGGCUUCCCUACCCAGUUAUCCCAGAGCUACUGGUAUCGGUUUCUACCCACAACCUCCGAGCAAGGCUCCCCUUUCAACCUGUAGACCUCGCCUCCCGAUUCUCGGGAGAUCUUGCUGACUGUGGAAUCCCUGGCUGUUCCGAACCCCCUGGAAAGAAGCGGCUGUUCCCAGGUUUCUGCAAGGUAACGAAUCUGAAGAGUCAACAGAAUUGAGCGGCUCCAUUCAUUCGACUCUGGUUCUCUCAACCAGGCAUUCCCCAUAUUAAAACAAUUCCAGAACUUCAAA
rnacentral:lncRNA from 1 species